rnacentral:rRNA from 1 species
CCUACGGGGGGCUGCAGUAGGGAAUGUUGCGCAAUGGGCGAAAGCCUGACGCAGCAACGCCGCGUGAACGAGACGCCCUUCGGGGUGUAAAGUUCUGUCAGUGGGGACGAAAAAUGACGGUACCCACAGAGGAAGCACCGGCUAACUCCGUGCCAGCAGCCGCGGUAAUACGGAGGGUGCAAGCGUUGUCCGGAAUCAUUGGGCGUAAAGAGUUCGUAGGCGGCAUGGAAAGUCAGGUGUUAAAGGCGCAGGCUCAACCUGUGGAUGGCACUUGAUACUUGCAAGCUGGAAUGCGGUAGAGGUCACGUGAAUUCCUGGUGUAGCGGUGAAAUGCUUAGCUAUCAGGAGGAACAUCGGUGGCGUACGCGCUUUACUGGGCCGUAAUUGACGCUGAGGCACGAACGCCAGUGUAGCAAAUCGGAUUAGAUACCCGGGUAGUC